AAUAUCCUACUGAUUCGGUGAUCACCAAUCCUGCAACCGCAAAAUGUCGGAUAAAGCAAUUUCACACAAAAAAAAAACUUUUUUCUUCAUCUACUUUUUAAGGAGAUGCAGUAACGGGACCACACAUACAGACGCAUAUACAGUAUUUGUUCAUUAACAUCUUAAAUGCUUUUUUAAAUGAAAUAAUGAUAAAGUCUUUCAAAAUGCAGAUGUUUAUUUCAACUACAUCUCAACUACAAUAUUUUAUGUAACCUUUUGCUUUGUAAAUAGCUAAAUUUACCAUCAAAUAUGGGCCUGGUCCCUGGCGAGAAAUUGCUCCCCACACAUGGAGUUUGAGGGGAUGUUUGAGACUCGGCAUGCUUGAUCUUUUUUUCUGUAGCAAUUUUGAGCAAAUUGCUCAAGGGCCACGGUUGAUUAGUCUGUGAAGAUGACAUCAUUGAAUGUCUUGCCAGCUUCGAUCCAUGCCUGGGCCUGCAUCAUGUGAAGUGCUUUGUUUGUCAGACGAACCAUUGGGUCGAAACUUGAAAAUGAGCCGGAGCUGAGAGGAUCACCAAAACUAAAGAGCAUACAGCCAUGCCGACAACCAUCCAUGGAGAUCAGUGGACAAAGGGCUAGACAACGGGCCUCACCGAAAAAACGCAUGGUUCCCAAGAAAGCGGCCACUGUAAUCGAUGGGGGCUCAGGAUGGUAUUAUUCUGCUCAUCUGAUGAAGGUGCACACUUUGAAGACCGAGUUUGAGAUAUUGAAGGCAGACCAACAGAAAGAGAAACAUUCUCUCAGGGCAGAGAUACGGGCGACAGAUGAUGCAUUGGACCAGAGACAAAAAAGCAUUAAAGACAGAGCUAAUGAGUACUUGAGGUCACUGAGAAAGUCUGGACAUGGCCUGCUCUCACUUAAGUAAGGAAUUAGGCACUUGUAUGACGUUUACUAUGUAGGCUACAGUAAACCUAUUUGUCCUGUUGGUUUUUGUCAGACUGCACAGUAGCCUAGUAAACAUAUGCAUUUUAAAACAGUUGUAUUUAUUUUAAAAUCAAAUUCAAUAAUAUACUUGUACCACUGUAGAUAAUGUGUUUUUAUUUUUUAGAAUACAGUUCUCGGUUUACAGUAGUGAUGGACAGUUGGAGGCAUUUUGAAAACAUGUUUUCAAACACUUGUUUUUCACAAGUGUAGCAGGUUGUGAACUCUGCACACAACGUUUCCAUUCCGAGAAUGAGAAUGGUAAAUGGCUGUAUUAAUACAUUCACUCAGUACAUUGGAAUACAAAAGAAGCCAUCAACCCAUGAUGGGCUAUUAUCAGGACAAUGGACUCUUGCCAAGGAGGAGAUGAAUAAGGAGGGUAGGAGGAGCGUUGUAUUUAAAGACACUGCACAGAAGCCCAACAAACAAGUGCAUUUUGAAAUAGUAAAAAAAAAAUGAAUUCAAUAAUAAAAUGA